GACGGAGGAUGCAAGUGUUAUCCGGAAUCACUGGGCGUAAAGCGUCUGUAGGUGGUCAAAUAAGUCAACUGUUAAAUCUUGAGGCUCAACCUCAAAAUCGCAGUCGAAACUAUUCGACUAGAGUAUAGUAGGGGUAAAGGGAAGUUUCCAGUGGAGCGGUGAAAUGACGUAGAGAUGUGGAGGAACACCGAUGGCGAAGGCAGCCCCUGGCCAAUACUGGACGCUCAUGCA
rnacentral:rRNA from 1 species